AAAGUUUAGGCACAAUAAAUCUGUUCUGAAAACAACCAAUUGGUAAACUAGCCAUGAUCAUUAAAGGUUGAGAAGAUUAGAUAGAACCUUCAGGGGGAAAAAAGCUUUUCGAUCGCAAGAAAGUUUCACAAAUGAUCUUUGUGGUGGUGCAUGAAACAGCCCUGAGGUUGUGCUGUGAAAAGUAUCAUAAAGAGUUUGUUAUGAUUGGCAUUUGAUCAGUAGUGCUCUGAGUCCAUCGGUCUUAUGAACGAUAGGCCUUAUAGAGCAGCAAACUGUUUGGGAGUUGGCAGCCAACCCAAAACCAAAAUUGUGUCCUCAAGUGAACUCUGCAGUGUACAACAGUACACACAUGCCAAGCCCGAGCUCCUUAGACACAGGUUAAAUAAUAAACAAGCAGCAGAUUAGAACAGCGUCACACACAAUCACCACUGCUACCACAAAACAUUUUGAACGUGUCUCCAUUUUCCUUUAGCCACUGUAGUGCUGUUGCAUGUGUGAACCAUGUCUGGCCCUUUUUGCUAUUUCAUGAUUGGUCAAGAGACAUGGCGCGAGGUGACGUCAGAGUAUUCUAGGCCUUGCCAAAGUAAGUGCGCUAUCUGCUUUUGUCGCAUGAAAACUAGAAGUGCUUACUUUCCAUUUUACCCGUUACGAUCUCAUGUGGUUCCCUGCAGCCCAGAUUUACUAUUGGACCAAAGGUGUGGUGUGCAUCAGGCACCGACUGAUUGUGGGUUUGUCUGUCUCGAAUGAACAGUUAGCACCAGCACAGACAUGAGGGUAGAAAGCUCCAAGAGGUGGCCCAGGAGGAAGCAGAGAGAGAGAGAGAGAGAGCCUGGGUGGACCAGCCACUUUCUGUCCCUCCUCCUUGUCAGAGAGUGUGUUUGUCUGCGAUUCUGUGUGAGAGAGAUUGGGAAAGCUCAAGGAGCAGCAGCAGCAGCAGCACACUUCGUGUAUCUGUACUAUGUGGACAUAGCACAGGUUUUUGUCACAAUGAUAACUGCUCUACGAAUAGAGCCACAUCAGCUAAACACAGCGAAGCAUUAAAAGCAGCAGAAUCCCGAGUGUGUACUGUAACACAGACAGCUCCAUUUAUCCUGUGGCCGCUCUGUUCAGCGCUGCACACGUGCAAUGCUCCUGUUUCUCCAGGGAUAUGAGCACAGUAAGAAGUAAGAGGUUCUUCAUCUUAAAGUGUAGUAACAGGCUACAAAUGUUCAAUGGCAUUUAUUUAUUUAUUUAUUUAUUUAUUUAUUUGUGUGUGUGUGUGUGUGUGUGUUUUUUUGUGCUUAUAUGUUAAGCGAUUCGCAAAAUGACCAAGGGUUAUUAGCACAUGGCACUCAGUACAGCCAGAAGUGAUUCAGAGAUCUGAAUAUAGGAUUUGCAUUUGGUUAAAUCUCAAUUUUUGCGAUCAAAAUAAAAAUAAGAGGAACAAUGUCACAGUGGCGAGGGUGAUUUGGCUAAUACAGCAGCCACAGAAACCCCUCCUGUAUUCUUCUGUGAAACACUUCUCAGCCUUGGGCAGAGAGUCAGGUAGGCUGUGCUCUCACUGUGGUGUGGCUUCAGUGUGUGUGUGUGUGUGUGUGUGUGUGUGGCGUCACUGCAUAAAAAGUUUUCCCUGCAAAUGACAGCAGCUGUUUCACCUCUAGCAAAGCAGCCUUUCUUUUAGCUUCUGAUUGGUGGAAGUACAGUGUGAGGGGGACUCUGAGGUACAACAGUCCCACACAUUGAUGAGUAACUUACCCACAAACACAAACUCAAACACAGGAAGCUGUCAGAAGCCGUCCUGGAUCCAUCUCUUAUGCUUUGGAAUUGUUACAUCCAACGUCUUGAUGUUUAUAGCUUUGCAUGGUGAAAUGCUCCCCCUUUUGGAAUGAUAAUGGACUCGACCGUCCCUUGAUGAAAAACGACUCAACAUCUCUUUUAUAUAUGUGAUGAGGCCUAUUCGAGUACAUGUAUGACUGCAUAUAGACAAGAAAAAACAUAUUUAAAAAAAUUAAAAGUUUAAUUUCACAUGUAGAAGAGAUGCUAGUUAAAACUGCGUUUGAAUAGUCAUCUUCACGUGGGAGUGUGUGACGAGUCCAUAUGAGAACUACAGGCUGUGUCACCCUUUUCUCCACUCUUUCUCGACCCUCCCUCUCAGUGCUGUCGCUCUCUCUCUCUCUCUCGCUCUCUCUGUAGCUUUUCUCGCUGGCUGUGGUGAAGAAUAAAAAGCUGCUUUGCCCAUGUUCUUUGUAACUCCCUCAUUUCAUCAUCCCCUUCUCCUUCACUUCUCUCUCUCUCUCGCUUCCUCUCUUCCCUCUACCACAGUUGCCCCCCCUUCCUUUUCCAGACUUGACCGCAUGUGAGUAGUAGAACGGAGAGAGAGAGAGAGAGAGCAUGCAGCUAAAAAAGAGAAAAAAGUGUCUGCUGCUAUUUCUACAGUAAGAUCCUCCCCUUCAGGCAGCUUGUGCCAAGAGAAGGAGGGUUUUUUUACUACUCUCUGGAUUUUUAACCCUAUGUCUCCAACCAGUUGUGAAGACUAUUUUUUUUUAAAUGUAAAUUAUUGCAUGUAAUCUUUAAUCAUUUUGUUGUAUAUCGACAGCUUUUCGUGGCUUUUAUAAACUGUAAUGUGAUCUUUCUCUUUUUACUGUAACAAGUACAGAGUGACUUUUUCUUCUACUGCUUUGCAAAAGAUUCAUUUUCUCCUCCUGGAUGGUUUUGUUUGAAUCUGGCGUGCAGGUGUUUGUGGUUGUUGCUCCAGUUCCUCAAAUGGUCGUUUGUAAUGCUGAGGUUUGAAAAUGGCUGUGGUCUUCCAGCUUGUUGCAUGUCUCAGAGAAGGGAAGUGCCAAUAGCUCUAUUGCUGAAGCACCGCCCUCUCUCUCUCUCUCUCUCUCUCUCUCUCUCUCUCUCUUGCAUUCUCUCUCACCCUCCCUCUGCUCACCCUCUCAUGCGCACACAUACAGUGCUUCUUUCACACUCCUCUCGCUCUCUCUCUGAAAGGAGAGCAGGAGGGUGGUGCAGUGGUGGAGCUUUUUCUGGGACAGGUGCCAAUUCCAAACAAAAGACAUAAAAAGGCAAUGAGUGAGAGAUGCCUCCAUCGAAAGCAAUAAGUUGCAUGUUGAAACGAAAGAGCAGAUUUAGAGCGGGGUGUGUACAUACAUGUACAUGUGACAUUGCGUGUUUAUUCAGCUGGAUGUAAAAGUGGACCUUCAGCAUGCAACGGCAGAGGAAGUGAGCUAGCGAGCGAGCUGAGAUUUGGAAUACUUUUCCUCCAUCUCGCCUGCUCUCUUCGUCUCUCUCUCUCUCUCUCUCGCUCUCUCUCUCCUCAUGCACUCUCUCCGUCCACUGAAGGCAUUUCAGAGGCAUGGGGUGUGGAGGGGAGGGGGUUAAAGGGGGAGGGAGCUCGGUUUUCAGCCUGCUGAAUUAUUCAUAGGCCCGGGCCAAUGCUGCAAGCGGACUGGCUGGAUCAUUAGCAUGCAGCGGACAUUCUAUUUGCCUGUUUGCUAACAUUCCUCAUUCAAAGACUUGUUAACUGGCAGACGGGCCGACCCACGCGUCUCACCGAUGAGCAUCAUGGCCUCCUAUUGUGGCUAGGGCCUGCUUGUCCCAGGCCAGCGGUGGUGGACAGGCAUGUGGUCCAACACUGGGGGCUGCAGUUGGGGUAGACAGACUGGCUUGGCCCCCUCAGGCCUGUCUCCUCCACGAGAGCUCACUCCUCGCUCUCUCUCUGUCGCUCUCUUCCUAAACAUAGGCCUUCAGGACCAGACUGUAUUGCCUCAGUCUGCUCACAUUUUCCUCAUUUGCGAGUGAAUGGAGUGUUCCAGAAAUGGUGUAUGGUCUAUGCACAUUGCAGGUGGCAUCAUGUAAAAGAGAGGGUGGUUGAGACAUGAUUGAAGCUUGAGGUUAAACCCUUAAUCCUUGGUCAUUUGAAAUGAUGAAAUAUAAUGCGUGUCUUUUGAUUUAUGAAUUGAAUUUAUUUAUAUUGUUUCAAAUUACAUUUUUAAAUUUGUCCAGCAUAUUUCUCCAGAAUCUUCUGGCGUUUGCACGUAUGUGUGUGUGUGUGUGUGUGUGUGUGUGUGUGUGUGUGUGUGUGUGUGUGUGUGUUUUCUGGUGAAAAGGUGUGUAUAUUUCCAAAAUUGCAAAACACACUCCAUCACUGUCACAUAAAGACAUACACACAACACACACCUAGACACACUUGCCAUGUGCCCCACAAGAGGACUCUAGUUCAGCCCUGAAUGAAAUUCCCACGCCUUUAAUGUGUGCAUAUGAGACUAAAGGGUUUACACCCCCCUCUCCCCCCACCCUGAAAAGACACUCAUCCAUACCCAGUCUAGACAGAAGACGUGUCUUGUGUUCAGUGCAGAAUUAAGAAAAAAAAGAAAAAAAAACAGAAUAAUGGGGCAUGAAAUGUAAUAAUUUGACAGCACCUCAAAACGGAAGUGUACAAAUGAUAUUUUUCUAGUUAUUUCUGGAUGUUAAGGAUAGUUAGUAACAUAAACAUUUAAAGCAUAAUUACAGCUGUAUCUGUAGACACACUGAAAAAAUUAAUUUGCUGUUUCAAAUUAGCAAAAUAUUUCAAGCAUGAAAAUAUUUACAGAACUGGAGGUUCAGGAAAAUUAGGACAAUUGAAAUGGUGUUUGAAAAUUUGAUCAAUUAAUGAAUUAAUAAAAAAUGUAUUAAAAAUGUUUGUGUGUACUAUAGGCAUUUAAGGCAUGGAAAUUUUUCUUGUGUGUGUGUGUGUGUGUGUGUGUGUGUGUGUGUGUGUGUGUGUGUGUUUAAAUGUUUAACUAUGUUCAGAUGAUGGUAAAACAUAGUGGAACUGAAUGUUAGUCUAGAACACAGUUUUUUCAAACCUUUGAAUGCAGAAAUCUAGUGGCAGUUUUUCUUCGAAAGAAAAAAUAUUUUGUGUAUAAGUGUCACUAACAAUUAAGCAAGUUGUGUGUUAAUGUUGUGUUAAUGGUUAUUUUGCCUAGCAAAAAGUGAUGUAUAUAAAGAAUUCAUUUGCUUUCUCACACACACACACACACACACACACACACACACACACACACACACACACAUAUAUAUAUAUAUAUAUAUAUAUGCACUUCCCUCACCACAUUUUCCAUUUCUAGAAGUAAAAUGCAUAAUUAAUGCUUAAUUACAAAAUGAAAGAAAAAAUGUUGUUAAUUAUGUAGCUGACAAUAAUUUGGAUUUCUGAAUCUCCUGCUAUUUUAAUCAACAUUUAAUGUGUGAUCAACACUGAAAUGUAUUUAUAAUGCAGUGCAGACGUGUGUGUGUGUGUGUGUGUGUGUGUGUGUGUGUGUGUGUGUGUGUGUGUGUGUGUGCACGCAAUAAAAUGCUGACUUUAUGAUA